rnacentral:tRNA from 1 species
GACUCAAUAGCUCAGCUGGUAGAGCACAUCCCUUUUAAGGAUGGGGUCCAGGGUUCGAGCCCCUGUUGGGUCACUA